AUUGAGAGUCAAAGGUCAUGUAAGGACACACGCAUAUUUUGGUGCAAAUUAGCUAUACAUUUUCUUUUACAAUACUCAUAAUUUUCUCUAUAAUCAUCUACUUAUUUUUUAGUAUAUUUGACCUCAAGAAUAAUCCUUCUCACUAAACAAAUAAAUACUUGAGUGUGAAUCCGACAUCCACAUUUUGGCGCCGUCUGUGGGGAUGGAGGAUUCUUGAGUCAUCAGAUUCUUUCUGUGCAUUAUAUACCCGAAGUGAUCCGCAAUGUCUAGAGAGGAUGCUACCAACGUUUAGAUAGCCGAAACCCUCAAGGCCAUGCAACAAGCUAUGACCGAUAUGACGCAAAAGUUUGCAAGCGUGGAAAAAACCGUCGAAACAUUGCAAACAAACCAGGUAUCACUCAGCCAGAAUGUUAGUACCAUUCAGUCUCGUGUCCGUUCUUUAAAUGUAGGGAAUUCUAGAGUUUGGAGAACCAUCUUCGGAUCCCCAAAUUCUCUUCCGCGAAAUGCAACAAGAGACCAAACGACCCCGGAUGGUACAAACGCGGAGAAUCAACCAGAAGAUGGAGAAACGCAUCCUGAAGAUGAUAACCAGUUCGGUGACCAGCACGAGCAGGAAAACUUCGACCAACUCGAAACCAUGAAGGAAGUAAGUCGGGAGUUGAAAGAAAUGAGGUC
rnacentral:sRNA from 1 species